rnacentral:rRNA from 1 species
AUUCCAAUCGAACCCGGAGAUAGCUGGUUCUCCCCGAAAUAGCUUUAGGGCUAGCCUGAGGUAGUAAGUAUAGGCGGUAGAGCACUGAUCGGGCUAGGGGCCGUAAAGGUUACCGAACCCUGUCAAACUCCGAAUGGAUAUACUGUAGAGCCUUGGAGUCAGACUACGAGUGAUAAGAUCCGUGGUCAAAAGGGAAACAGCCCAGACCACCAGCUAAGGUCCCCAAUGUCGUACUAAGUGGAAAAGGAUGUGGGGUUUCAUAAACAACCAGGAUGUUGGCUCAGAAGCAGCCACCAUUUAAAGAGUGCGUAAUAGCUCACUGGUCGAGAGACCCUGCGCCGAAGAUUCCCGGGGCUAAAGUACGAAACCGAAGCUGUGGCUGUAUACGUAAAGUAUACGGGGUAGGGGAGCGUUCCCAUAGGGUAGAAGUCGAACUGGAAGGUUCGGUGGACUUGUGGGAAGUGAGAAUGUUGGUAUGAGUAGCGAAAAGAAAGGUGAGAAUCCUUUCCACCGAAAGCAUAAGGAUUCCUGAGCAACGAUCGUCGUCUCAGGGUAAGUCGGGACCUAAUCCGAGGCAGAGAGCGUAGGAGAUGGACAACUGGUUGAUAUUCCAGUACCGGUAGUAAUUGUUUGAGCAAUGGAGUGACACAGAAGGGCAGGCAAGCAUGCGAAUGGAAGAGCAUGUGUAAGCGUGUAGGGUGGUGCAUAGGCAAAUCCGUGCACUGAAAGCCUGAGGCGUGAUGCGGAGUGAGCAGAGAUGCGAGCGAAGUUGUUGACCCCACACUGUCGAGAAAAGCUUCUAGUGAGAGAGCUACCGCCCGUACCGUAAACCGACACAGGUAUGCGGGGAGAGAAUCCUAAGGUGCGCGGGAGAACCCUCGUUAAGGAACUCGGCAAAAUGUACCCGUAACUUCGGGAUAAGGGUAGCCACUGUUGUGAAGUCCCAUGCGGAUGGAGCAUAGAGUGGUCGCAGAGAAGAGGCCCAAGCGACUGUUUACCAUAAACACAGGUGCCUGCUAAAGCGAAAGCUGACGUAUAGGUGCUGACACCUGCCCAGUGCCGGAAGGUUAAGGAAGGAUGUUCGGAUUAGUCCAAAGCAUUCGACUGAAGCCCCGGUGAACGGCGGCCGUAACUAUAACGGUCCUAAGGUAGCGAAAUUCCUUGUCGGGUAAGUUCCGACCCGCACGAAAGGUGUAACGAUUUGGGCACUGUCUCAACGAGGGACCCGGUGAAAUUGAAAUACCUGUGAAGAUGCAGGUUACCCGCGACUGGACAGAAAGACCCCAUGGAGCUUUACUGUAACCUGACAUUGGGUUUUGAUACAUUACGUACAGGAUAGGUGGGAGGCAUGGAAAGCUGGACGCUAGUCUGGCUGGAGCCGCCGUUGGGAUACCACCCUUGAUGUAUUGAAAUUCUAACCGCGAGAGUAACGAAAUCCGGGACAGUGUCAGGCGGGCAGUUUGACUGGGGCGGUCGCCUCCGAAAGAGUAACGGAGGCGCCCAAAGGUUCCCUCAGCGCGGCCGGAAAUCGCGCGAAGAGUGUAAAGGCAGAAGGGAGCUUGACUGCGAGUCAAACACGACGAGCAGGUACGAAAGUAGGGCUUAGUGAUCCGGUGGUACCGAGUGGAAGGGCCAUCGCUCAACGGAUAAAAGCUACCCUGGGGAUAACAGGCUAAUCUCUCCCAAGAGUCCAUAUCGACGGGGAGGUUUGGCACCUCGAUGUCGGCUCAUCACAUCCUGGGGCUGAAGUCGGUCCCAAGGGUUGGGCUGUUCGCCCAUUAAAGUGGUACGUGAGCUGGGUUCAGAACGUCGUGAGACAGUUCGGUCCCUAUCCAUCGCGGGCGCAAGAGAUUUGAAGGGGGCUGCUCCUAGUACGAGAGGACCGGAGUGGACGAACCGCUGGUGUACCAAUUAUCCCGCCAGGGGUACAGUUGGGUAGCUACGUUCGGAAAGGAUAAACGCUGAAAGCAUCUAAGCGUGAAACCAGCCUUAAGAUGAGAUCUCUCAUAGAGCAAUCUAGUAAGACACCUUAAAGAAGAUGAGGUUGAUAGGUCGGGAGUGUAAGUACAGCAAUGUAUUGAGCGGACCGAUACUAAUAUGUCGAGGGCUUGACUUA